rnacentral:rRNA from 1 species
UACGUAGGGUGCGAGCGUUAAUCGGAAUUACUGGGCGUAAAGUGUGCGCAGGCGGCCGAGCAAGUCGAGUGUGAAAGCCCCGAGCUUAACUUGGGAACUGCGCUCGAAACUACUUGGCUAGAGUGUGGCAGAGGGAGGUGGAAUUCCACGUGUAGCGGUGAAAUGCGUAGAGAUGUGGAGGAACACCGAUGGCGAAGGCGACCUUCUGGGCCGCAACUGACGCUGAGGCACGAAAGCGUGGGGAGCAAACGGG